UUCUUUAUCACCGAGUGCUUGCACUCACCGAUAAAGAGUUGAGUGGCGAACGGGUGAGUAACACGUGGGCAACCUGCCCAAAAGAGGGGGAUAACACUUGGAAACAGGUGCUAAUACCGCAUAACCAUAGUUACCGCAUGGUAACUAUGUAAAAGGUGGCUAUGCUACCGCUUUUGGAUGGGCCCGCGGCGCAUUAGCUAGUUGGUGGGGUAAAGGCUUACCAAGGCAAUGAUGCGUAGCCGAACUGAGAGGUUGAUCGGCCACAUUGGGACUGAGGCACGGCCCAAACUCCUACGGGAGGCAGCAGUAGGGAAUCUUCCACAAUGGGCGAAAGCCUGAUGGAGCAACGCCGCGUGGGUGAAGAAGGUCUUCGGAUCGUAAAACCCUGUUGUUAGAGAAGAAAGUGCGUGAGAGUAACUGUUCACGUUUCGACGGUAUCUAACCAGAAAGCCACGGCUAACUACGUGCCAGCAGCCGCGGUAAUACGUAGGUGGCAAGCGUUAUCCGGAUUUAUUGGGCGUAAAGGGAACGCAGGCGGUCUUUUAAGUCUGAUGUGAAAGCCUUCGGCUUAACCGGAGUAGUGCAUUGGAAACUGGGAGACUUGAGUGCAGAAGAGGAGAGUGGAACUCCAUGUGUAGCGGUGAAAUGCGUAGAUAUAUGGAAGAACACCAGUGGCGAAAGCGGCUCUCUGGUCUGUAACUGACGCUGAGGUUCGAAAGCGUGGGUAGC
rnacentral:rRNA from 1 species